AACGCUGGCGGCAGGCCUAACACAUGCAAGUCGAACGGAGUUAUAUUGUAGCUUGCUAUGGUAUAACUUAGUGGCAGACGGGUGAGUAAUGUAUAGGAAUCUACCUAGUAGUACGGAAUAAUUGUUGGAAACGACAACUAAUACCGUAUACGCCCUACGGGGGAAAAAUUUAUUGCUAUUAGAUGAGCCUAUAUUAGAUUAGCUAGUUGGUGGGGUAAUAGCCUACCAAGGUAAUGAUCUAUAGCUGAUCUGAGAGGAUGAUCAGCCACACUGGAACUGAGAUACGGUCCAGACUCCUACGGGAGGCAGCAGUGGGGAAUAUUGGACAAUGGGCGAAAGCCUGAUCCAGCCAUGCCGCAUGAGUGAAGAAGGCCUUUGGGUUGUAAAGCUCUUUUAGUGAGGAAGAUAAUGACGGUACUCACAGAAGAAGUCCUGGCUAACUCCGUGCCAGCAGCCGCGGUAAUACGGAGAGGGCUAGCGUUAUUCGGAAUUAUUGGGCGUAAAGGGCGCGUAGGCUGGUUAAUAAGUUAAAAGUGAAAUCCCGAGGCUUAACCUUGGAAUUGCUUUUAAAACUAUUAAUCUAGAGAUUGAAAGAGGAUAGAGGAAUUCCUGAUGUAGAGGUAAAAUUCGUAAAUAUUAGGAGGAACACCAGUGGCGAAGGCGUCUAUCUGGUUCAAAUCUGACGCUGAAGCGCGAAAGGCGUGGGGGAGCAAACAGGAUUAGAUACCCUGGGUAGUCCCACGCUGUAAA
rnacentral:rRNA from 1 species